rnacentral:rRNA from 1 species
UACGUAGGGGGCAAGCGUUGUCCGGAUUUAUUGGGCGUAAAGAGCGUGUAGGCGGCCAGGCAGGUCCGCUGUGAAAACUCGAGGCUCAACCUCGAGAGGUCGGUGGAAACCGUUUGGCUAGAGUCCGGAAGAGGAGAAUGGAAUUCCCGGUGUAGCGGUGAAAUGCGCAGAUAUCGGGAAGAACACCCGUGGCGAAGGCGGCUCUCUGGGACGGUACUGACGCUGAGACGCGAAAGCGUGGGGAGCGAACAGG